rnacentral:rRNA from 1 species
AAACUGAAGAGUUUGAUCCUGGCUCAGAUUGAACGCUGGCGGCAUGCCUUACACAUGCAAGUCGAACGCGAAAGCGGGGCAACCCGCAAGUAGAGUGGCGAACGGGUGAGUAAUACAUCGGAACAUGUCCAGUAGCGGGGGAUAACCUGUCGAAAGAUAGGCUAAUACCGCAUACGAUCUACGGAUGAAAGCAGGGGACCGCAAGGCCUUGCACUAUUGGAGUGGCCGAUGUCGGAUUAGCUAGUUGGUGAGGUAAAGGCUUACCAAGGCGACGAUCC